AGCGAACGCUGGCGGCAGGCCUAACACAUGCAAGUCGAACGAACCUUUCGGGGUUAGUGGCGGACGGGUGAGUAACACGUGGGAACGUGCCUUUAGGUUCGGAAUAACUCAGGGAAACUUGUGCUAAUACCGAAUGUGCCCUUCGGGGGAAAGAUUUAUCCCCUUUAGAGCGGCCCGCGUCUGAUUAGCUAGUUGGUUGAGGUAAUGGCUCACCAAGGCGACGAUCAGUAGCUGGUCUGAGAGGAUGAUCAGCCACAUUGGGACUGAGACACGGCCCAAACUCCUACGGGAGGCAGCAGUGGGGAAUCUUGCGCAAUGGGCGAAAGCCUGACGCAGCCAUGCCGCGUGAAUGAUGAAGGUCUUAGGAUUGUAAAAUUCUUUCACCGGGGACGAUAAUGACGGUACCCGGAGAAGAAGCCCCGGCUAACUUCGU
rnacentral:rRNA from 1 species